AACGCAGGCGGUCUUUUAAGUCUGAUGUGAAAGCCUUCGGCUUAACCGGAGUAGUGCAUUGGAAACUGGGAGACUUGAGUGCAGAAGAGGAGAGUGGAAUUCCAGGUGUAGCGGUGAAAUGCGUAGAGAUCUGGAGGAAUACCGAUUGCGAAGGCAGCCCCCUGGACAGUGACUGACGCUCAUAUGCGAAAGCGUGGGGAUCAAACAGGAUUAGAUACCCCAGUA
rnacentral:rRNA from 1 species